rnacentral:tRNA from 2 species
UGGGGGAUAGUAUAGCGGCAAUACGAUGGGUUCUGGCCCCAUUAUCCAAGGUUCGAGUCCUUGUCCCCCAGCCA